GACGAACGCUGGCGGCGUGCUUAACACAUGCAAGUCGAACGGAAAGGCCCUGCUUUUGUGGGGUGCUCGAGUGGCGAACGGGUGAGUAACACGUGAGUAACCUGCCCUUGACUUUGGGAUAACUUCAGGAAACUGGGGCUAAUACCGGAUAGGAGCUCCUGCUGCAUGGUGGGGGUUGGAAAGUUUCGGCGGUUGGGGAUGGACUCGCGGCUUAUCAGCUUGUUGGUGGGGUAGUGGCUUACCAAGGCUUUGACGGGUAGCCGGCCUGAGAGGGUGACCGGCCACAUGGGGCCUGAGGUACGGCCCAGACUCCUACGGGAGGCAGCAGUGGAGAAUAUUGCACAGUGGGCCGAAGCCUGAUACAGCAACGCCGCGUGCGGGAUGACGGCCUUCGGGUUGUAAACCGCUUUCGCCUGUGACGAAGCGUGAGUGACGGUAAUGGGUAAAGAAGCACCGGCUAACUACGUG
rnacentral:rRNA from 1 species